rnacentral:rRNA from 1 species
UACGUAGGGUGCAAGCGUUGUCCGGAAUUAUUGGGCGUAAAGAGUUCGUAGGCGGUCUGUCGCGUCGAAUGUGAAAACCCGGGGCUCAACCCCGGGCCUGCAUUCGAUACGGGCAGACUAGAGUUCGGUAGGGGAGUCUGGAAUUCCUGGUGUAGCGGUGAAAUGCGCAGAUAUCAGGAGGAACACCGGUGGCGAAGGCGGGACUCUGGGCCGAUACUGACGCUGAGGAGCGAAAGCGUGGGGAGCAGACAGG